rnacentral:rRNA from 1 species
CUACGGGGUGCUCCAGUGGGGAAUAUUGCACAAUGGGCGCAAGCCUGAUGCAGCCAUGCCGCGUGUAUGAAGAAGGCCUUCGGGUUGUAAAGUACUUUCAGCGGGGAGGAAGGGAGUAAAGUUAAUACCUUUGCUCAUUGACGUUACCCGCAGAAGAAGCACCGGCUCACUCCGUGCCAGCAGCCGCGGUAAUACGGAGGGUGCAAGCGUUAAUCGGAAUUACUGGGCGUAAAGCGCACGCAGGCGGUUUGUUAAGUCAGAUGUGAAAUCCCCGGGCUCAACCUGGGAACUGCAUCUGAUACUGGCAAGCUUGAGUCUCGUAGAGGGGGGUAGAAUUCCAGGUGUAGCGGUGAAAUGCGUAGAGAUCUGGAGGAAUGCCGGUGGCGAAGGCGGCCCCCUGGACGAAGACUGACGCUCAGGUGCGAAAGCGUGGGGAGCAAACAGGAUUAGAUACCCCCGUAGUC